rnacentral:lncRNA from 1 species
GAUAGAUAUAAGAAGAUGUGGUAUGAGUGCCAAUGAGACAACUCUCUGUCCAAGUCACAAUAUGUAACAGUAAACCAUUAUAGGUCUUCAACAGGGAGCCUUAGCUCACACUGAACAGCAAGCUAUAAAUGACCCCAAACAUGACUAGUGUAAAACUCAUGAAAGGUAUAAAUUAAUUUACAAGAAGAAUGAAAUACAGAUUUAUAGUGUGUGUUAACCUUGC